rnacentral:rRNA from 1 species
UACGGGGGGUGCGAGCGUUGUCCGGAUUCACUGGGCGUAAAGGGUGCGCAGGCGGCCAAGUGUGUGAGGCGUGAAAGCCCGGGGCUUAACCCCGGAAUUGCACCUCAAACUACAUGGCUAGAGCAUUGGAGAGGGUAGCAGAAUUCACGGUGUAGCAGUGAAAUGCGUAGAUAUCGUGAGGAAUACCAGAGGCGAAGGCGGCUACCUGGACAAUUGCUGACGCUCAGGCACGAAAGCGUGGGGAGCAAAAGGG